CCUCGUUUUGACUUUUAAACUUCCUGGUCUUCCAGAAUAUGCUGUCAACCUAAAGUUUAAAAAGUCCGCUUUAAACCAACAAGAAAUUAACAGAUUAUUAUUGACCUGUGGCAGCUGGUAUUAACGCCUGGAUGACACCCUUUGAAAUAAGCUGAAGUUGCAAUUGGAGUUAUAUGAAGGAUAAUUUGUAGUUGUUGGCAGUUUCAGAACUAGAACCAACAGACUUCUGUUUGGGACUUUGGGUACUUAAUCAUACUCGGAUAUAAUGGAAGAUUGGGAUAAGAGACUUUGUACAGCUGCUGAGGAGGGAAAUAUUAAAGAUGUGGAAUCAUCUUUACAGAAUGGAGCUAAUUUGGAAAAUACAAGUCUUGGUG